rnacentral:piRNA from 1 species
UACUUACAUUUUGAGUUUGUGUUCACCUC